UACGAAGGGGGCUAGCGUUGUUCGGAAUUACUGGGCGUAAAGCGCACGUAGGCGGAUCGAUCAGUCAGAGGUGAAAUCCCAGGGCUCAACCCUGGAACUGCCUUUGAUACUGUCGAUCUGGAGUAUGGAAGAGGUGAGUGGAAUUCCGAGUGUAGAGGUGAAAUUCGUAGAUAUUCGGAGGAACACCAGUGGCGAAGGCGGCUCACUGGUCCAUUACUGACGCUGAGGUGCGAAAGCGUGGGGAGCAAACAGG
rnacentral:rRNA from 1 species